ACUGAUACUCAGAUUACAAGAACCCAGAUAUUAGCAUUCGAAUAUUCAACUGCCAACUACAGAAUAAACCAAACUAUUUUACUAAAAUAAUAAAAUGAUCACGAGCAGGAAAAUUUUAUCACUCGCAUAUUCAGCAAAUUCCUUGAAGAAAGUUACUGGAAAUAAACUAAACAUGCACAUCUUUUGAUUAUUUUAUUAAAGAAAAGAACAUGCAUUACAAGUGGUUGGAAGGUUACCUGAAGAGCAGAAAUACAGCAGUAGUGAUAGCAGAAGCAGUAGAAAAAAUAACAGUAAAUUGAACCCAAAACAAACCUUAAAACUCAGCAACUUUAGUGAAGGAAGAACUAGAAACUAGAUUUAUUAACUUUUAUUGUUUAAAGUGUUCUUUUCUCUCAGAAAACUCACUCUAGAACUCUCAAGUUUCAGCUUGCUAUUAGACAUUCAGCUAUUAAUUUUGCUCUUGAUUUUUGUGUAUUCUUGAGUGUAAAAGAUGUUUCAGAAGCUAUGUAUCCUGGAAAUGUCCCCAGUAUGAAAGAAUGACCCCUUUAAGUAGGGAAAUAAGUCCUUUUGGGCAGAUUUCUUUCACCAAAUUCAGACACAAAGUAAAGUAGUUAUUUUUCUAGCAUGCUUUAAAUAGUCAACUACCAACUAUGUACCCUAUUCUGAUCAACAUCACCUUUUAUCAACAAAACUCAAAUAACCAAAUCUAAUCCAAUCACAAAAUAGACAAAGCAACAACAAAACUAUGAUUGUAACUAGAAUGAGCAUCCAAACAAACUGAAUUAAAGCAAUGUGAUUUUAUGCAAACUAACAGUGAACAAAAUACAACUUGGAUGAGCAUAAGUAAAUUUUCAGACAAAGAUUAGCAACAACUAAACAUAACGAUUACUAAGUAAACGAUUCAUCUAAUCUCUUUUUUUAUUUUUCAUGAAACUAGUAUAAAAUACUUAACUAUCGACCGGCUAGGUCGGAAAACUAAAAAUUCAGACUCAACAGGUUAACAAAAAAUAGUCGACCGACUAGGUCGAAGAAACAAAAAUCAGAAUCAAUAGACAAUAAUGAACUACUCAACCGGCUAUUUCGAAGAACUGAAAUUCACACUUAUAAAGUAACAUGUAAUUAAAAACUAAUACUCAAUUGCACAUAAAUAACAUCUAUGUUAAUAGAAAUUAGACCUUUAAAACUAAUACUAAUUGCAAAAGCUAAAAAUCAAAGAAGAUAAAAAGGAAGUAAGGUUUAUACCAAUCGAGGGAAUUUGACAUUGUUCAAGCUACGAGAAGAUGCCGGGGAUACCAAUUGGUGGUUGUCCGACCCUGAGGCGUAUGUUUCUUUUUGGAAGACGCUAAGCCAAUAGAUUCCGGCGUUUUGCCAAAAGGAAACAAAUGCCUUUGGGUCGAAAGAAGCAAGAAAAACAAGAGAAAAUGAGAAGCAGCGACGGAGCAGUGGGGGUCGUCGGGAUUCCAGUCGCCAGAAUUUUGGGUUAAAACCAAUGCAAAAUUGUAGCCCUUGCUGAGCUCCAUCUAUGUAUGUAAAAUUAGGUGGAAAGGGCGGCUCAAUCUCCACGAAUUAUCAAAAAGUGAUGGCUAGGAUUUUGAUUUAGGCUAGUUUCGUGGAAUUUGGUUGGGAUUUGGAGGACAUGAGGCUUGGAUUCAAGGAGAGGAGGUUGAAAAGAAGAAAUGGUAAAUUUUAGGGUGGUUUGGGGUUGCUCGCUGCCGGUAACGAAUUCCGGCGGGCGGAGCAGAGGCGGCGGUGGCAGAGGAGUGGGAGAGAAGAGAUGGGCUCUAAGGU
rnacentral:lncRNA from 1 species